rnacentral:rRNA from 1 species
UGGGGAAUAUUGGACAAUGGGCGAAAGCCUGAUCCAGCAAUGCCGCGUGAGUGAUGAAGGCCUUAGGGUUGUAAAGCUCUUUUACCAGGGAUGAUAAUGACAGUACCUGGAGAAUAAGCUCCGGCUAACUCCGUGCCAGCAGCCGCGGUAAUACGGAGGGAGCUAGCGUUGUUCGGAAUUACUGGGCGUAAAGCGUACGUAGGCGGUGACUCAAGUCAGAGGUGAAAGCCUGGAGCUCAACUCCAGAACUGCCUUUGAAACUAGGUCGCUAGAAUCACGGAGAGGUGAGUGGAAUUCCGAGUGUAGAGGUGAAAUUCGCAGAUAUUAGGAAGAACACCAGUGGCGAAGGCGGCCAACUGGCUCGAUACUGACGCUGAGGUGCGAAAGCGUGGGGAGCAAACAGGAUUAGAUACCCCAGUAGUCCCUGAGCGGGCUGGCAAGGCGCAU